AGAGUUGCCAAGGAGACGCCAUGUAGCUAUGGGGAAGAUGGGAUUGCCUGGUUAUUCUCUGGGAAGUUGCCUCUUAAUUCGACAGAGACUUUUGCAGAGAGAUAAUGUGAUACAAGAGAAACUAGGAAUCUUGGUGUUAUAUAAUUCAACUUGGAGCAAAUAAAGCAUGGACAUUGUUUCACUAGGAAGUUCGGAACUUUCAGGAGUUGUGGGAAAACGUACUCCUGUUUUUAGCUGGUUUUCAAUUUUCUUGCUGUCUCUGAGUCAUUGAAAUCUGCAUAACGCCAGCAACUACUGUGAAUAAACAUGGUGUGAUCCUUGCCAAUAAAACAUCCUUACUUUCAGGGGAAAAGUAAAAUCUCUAGACAAAAUGACUGGUUAAAAACUUUAAUCUUCUUUGGAUAUGUUUCUUA